GACAGAAGGUGCAAACGUUGUUCGGAAUUCCUGGGCGUAAAGCGCGUGUAGGCGGCCCUGCAAGUCGGAUGUGAAAUCCCACGGCUCAACCAUGGAAGUGCAUUCGAAACUGCAGAGCUAGAGUCCUGGAGAGGAAGGUGGAAUGCUUGGUGUAGAGGUGAAAUUCGUAGAUAUCAAGCGGAACACCGGUGGCGAAGGCGGCCUUCUGGACAGUGACUGACGCUGAGACGCGAAAGCGUGGGGAGCAAACAGG
rnacentral:rRNA from 1 species